rnacentral:lncRNA from 1 species
UCAACUUUUGAAAAUAUGUCUAAUUUUCCUUGUUUUUAAGGAAAAUAUUUUUCUUGGGUAGAGGUGGUUUUUAUUUUCUACAAAAGAUGGAAAACGUUAUCUCUUCUAGGUGAUAUUUUUCAUGUCAAUCAAACACACUCUUAGAUAAAAAUCUCCUCAAAGAAAAAUCCUUAAGGACUUGCUCUUAAGCAAUCCGACUAAGGGUUGCAUGUGCCA